GCACCGAAGUACAGUUCUAGCUACGUGACAGCCAGCACUACACACACCAUCCCUUGUCGACACAAAGACAGUUUGUUUGUAACAGGACAGAAGCCAAGAAGAAAGAAAUGGCGUCGACGGUGGCAAGCCUCUCAAUUCCGGCGACCACCUUCGCGGCGGCGGCGGCCGGCGAUGUGCUCCCAAGGAGGAAGGCCGCCGCCACCGGCCGCGUCUGGUUCCCCGUGGCGCGGCGCGGCGGAGGAUUCGCCGUGAGGUCGACCGGGCCGGCCACGCCGUCGAACAUCUCCGACAAGCUGUCGGAGAGCAUCAAGGAGGCGGAGGAGACGUGCGCGGACGAGAAGGGCACCGCGGAGUGCGCGGCGGCAUGGGACAAUGUGGAGGAGAUCAGCGCCGCGGCGAGCCACGCCCGCGACAACCUCAAGGAGAACAGCGACCCGCUGGAGAAGUACUGCAAGGAGAACCCGGAGACCGACGAGUGCCGCAUCUACGACAACUAAUAAUAAGCGCGUGUGUACAAGUAAUUAAUCGAUCACACGUGUUAUUAGUUUGUUAAUGAAUCAAACGUGUUGAGUUAUUAGUUUGUUAUUAUGUAUAGGCGACAUAAAAGGAAUUGAAGGUUGUGUGGGACAUAAGAAUAAUACUCGGGGAGGAGGAAUGAUGAACACUUGUAUGAAACUACUUGAAUGUAUGGCUAUAUCAUCAUUCAUACUAGGAUGACAAGGGCCUCCCCGGUAUGAAAUUGGGAUGGUAUACUAGUAUUUUUUUGGAUUACUUUCUUGUGGCCAAGCGUGUUUAAAGUUUGGGAUGGACUGACAAAUACUUUGCAUUGUUAAGAAUCCAUCAAGUUCAAUUAAUCUCAUCCCAGUUGGUAGUAACUAAUAUUUUCUUUGGACAGUGUGCACAUGAAUUUGUUUCUGCAAACUCUGUUCAAAUCAUGUACAGAAAAACUACUGUAAGCAGCAACAAGGAGGGGGGGCAGUCGGCAUCAACCAAAUUGUCAAACAGAAUAUCUCCUUCUUAGUUGUUACUGUUUAUCUUCUCCCUAGGUUUCUAUACUGUAGCUGAGUUGUUUGUGAGCGAUUCAGUUGGGGUUGCAAACACUUAGGUCCAACACAGAGAAAUGAAUGUCAUGUGUGGAGGCAACACUCCACCAACUAGGCAAGAGCACCAGGGUUCUAUUCUGCCCACCUGCCUCCCUCUCAUAGUCUACCCCUUUUUAUUUUUUCCCUUUUUCUUGAAAAUAGGAUAAACCUGUUUAUAAGAAAGCAAUGUAACUUGGGUUACCAGUUUAACAAAAAAAACAGCUAGGCCUAAAACAUCCAAAAGCGUUUAAACCAUAAAAAGUUUUUUUUUCUAAAACUUGUCAAAAGCACAGGCUUGACAGCGCACUCAAUUACAAUCGAGACUGUCUGAUAAAUCACAAACAUGUCUACUACUCACGCCUAUAGCCCUCUUUGGAGAAAAUCCCUGGAGCGACACCCACGGGUCGCCUAGACUAGGGAUCGAACUGUGGGCGCCUAAACGCUCAGCCUAGCCACAUACAUUGCCAGCACUACCAACUGAGCUACAGGCUCAUUCAGAAACUAUAAGAAUUCAACGUGCACAGAGCAAAAGCAGAACAACAGACUAUGCCUAUUAUAA
rnacentral:lncRNA from 1 species